UGGGGAAUCUUGGACAAUGGGCGCAAGCCUGAUCCAGCCAUGCCGCGUGAGUGACGAAGGUCUUCGGAUUGUAAAGCUCUUUUUGGCGGGGACGAUAAUGACGGUACCCGCAGAAUAAGCCCCGGCUAACUCCGUGCCAGCAGCCGCGGUAAUACGUAGGGUGCGAGCGUUAAUCGGAAUUACUGGGCGUAAAGCGUGCGCAGGCGGUUUGGUAAGACAGAUGUGAAAUCUCCGAGCUUAACUCGGAACGGUCAACUGAUACUGUCAAACUAGAGUACAGAAGGGGCAAUCGGAAUUCUUGGUGUAGCGGUGAAAUGCGUAGAUAUCAAGAGGAACACCUGAGGCGAAGGCGGGUUGCUGGGCUGAUACUGACGCUGAAGCGCGAAAGCUAGGGUAGCAAACGGGAUUAGAUACCCAAGUAGUCCCUGAGCGGGCUGGCAAGGCGCAU
rnacentral:rRNA from 1 species